rnacentral:snoRNA from 1 species
CGGUCUGUGAUGUCACUUUACAAUGGAGACUGUAGGAUGACUCUGCGGAUAUGGGGCUGAGAUCGAGG